rnacentral:misc_RNA from 1 species
ACCAGGGUCCCCAGAGUGACACCCUCG